GACGAACGCCGGCGGCGUGCUUAACACAUGCAAGUCGAACGGAAAGGCCCUGCUUGCAGGGUACUCGAGUGGCGAACGGGUGAGUAACACGUGGGUGAUCUGCCCUUCACUUCGGGAUAAGCCUGGGAAACUGGGUCUAAUACCGGAUAGGAGCCAUUUUUAGUGUGAUGGUUGGAAAGUUUUUUCGGUGUAGGAUGAGCUCGCGGCCUAUCAGCUUGUUGGUGGGGUAAUGGCCUACCAAGGCGGCGACGGGUAGCCGGCCUGAGAGGGUGGACGGCCACAUUGGGACUGAGAUACGGCCCAGACUCCUACGGGAGGCAGCAGUGGGGAAUAUUGCACAAUGGGCGCAAGCCUGAUGCAGCGACGCCGCGUGGGGGAUGACGGCCUUCGGGUUGUAAACUCCUUUCGCUAGGGACGAAGCUUUUUGUGACGGUACCUAGAGAAGAAGCACCGGCUAACUACGUG
rnacentral:rRNA from 1 species